rnacentral:rRNA from 1 species
AUUGAACGCUGGCGGCAGGCCUAACACAUGCAAGUCGAGCGAGCGGCGGACGGGUGAGUAAUGUCUGGGAAACUGCCUGAUGGAGGGGGGUAACUACUGGAAACGGUAGCUAUUACCCCACACCACCAGAUGUGCCCAGAUGGGAUUAGCGAGUGGGUGGGGUAAUGGCUCACCUAGGCGACGAUCCCUAGCUGGUCUGAGAGGAUGACCAGCCACACUGGAACUGAGACACGGUCCAGACUCCUACGGGAGGCAGCAGUGGGGAAUAUUGCACAAUGGGCGCAAGCCUGAUGCAGCCAUGCCGCGUGUGGGAAGAAGGCCUUCGGGUUGUAAAGCACUUUCAGCGGGGAGGCGUUACCCGCAGAAGAAGCACCGGCUAACUCCGUGCCAGCAGCCGCGGUAAUAC